ensembl:lncRNA
CCUUGGAUCAGCAGUCCUGGCUGGCACGCCAGACCAAAACCGAAACAGGCUUGCCACUCAAUCAGUUCAAUACUUCACUGAGCAGACCCUGUAUGCUGAGCUCCAUGGUAGGGCCUGGAGAGCCAGCAGGGAACAAGAUAGAGAACAAUCAGACCCUCCUGGGGCUUACGCUGCAGUCAACGAGCACACAGACAGACAGACAGUGCAGGCAGAAGAAAGAUGCAGGCUCUGACCAUUGUGCUCUUGGGCAUCACGAAGGAGCUGAAAUGAAGAUUCAUAGCUUAGCAGAUCAGAAAUACAGACCACGAGGCAGACACCACCAUGACACCAACAAGCACAGACUGUGCUUCCAACUUGGAAGGAAAACUUUUGGAAGAUCGUGGGGGCUUUUGAAAACAUGCCUUCUUUCACCUCUCACAUGAGGAGUGGGGACACCCAAAGCAAGGCAGCGACCUGCUGAAGGUCCACUGUGACCCCACACAAGGUCCCUGCACUCGCCCCAGUCAAUCACCACUCUUUCCAACGUCACCACACACAGAGAGGUGCCUUCUUCACAGUGGAGAGCAUCCACUUCAUUCCGUUUUACUUUUUAAUUAAAAUGUUUAUUUCGCGACAACUGCUGAUUCCCAUGCAGUUGGAAGGAAUGAUACAGAGACCCCACGUAUGCAUCACCUAGUCUCCCCCAGUGGUGAAAGCGAAAGUCACUCAGUCAUGUCUGACUCUUUGAAAUCCCACAGACUAUACAAUCCAUGGAAUUCUCCAGGCCAGAAUACUGGAGUGGGCAGCNNNNNNNNNNNNNNNNNNNNNNNNNNNNNNNNNNNNNNNNNNNNNNNNNNNNNNNNNNNNNNNNNNNNNNNNNNNNNNNNNNNNNNNNNGGAGUGGGUAGCCUAUCCCUUCUCCAGGGGAUCUUCCUGAACCAGGAAUCGAGCUGGGGUCUCCUGCAUUGCAGGCGGAUUCUUUACCAGCUGAGCUUAAGGCUGCAGUGCAGUAUCACGUCUGGGAAACAAACAUUGACGCGGGCAUGCUACGGAGCCUCUCAUCACUCGGUCAGUCCACACGCCGUCACCACGAGGGCCCCUCACCUUGCCGCUUUCCAUAAAGCUGAACUGCUUGGAUUUUUCUUCCUGUUGAGGUUUAGAAGUUCCUCACGUGCCAGCCCUUGGUCAGAACUGGAGAAGAGCUGGGUCAGGAGGAUGCAGGAUUCCCAGGUGGUAAAGAGCUCUCACCUGCCGCUGCAGGAGACGUAAGAGAGGCAGGUUUGACCCCUGGGUCUGGAAGAUCCCCAGGGACAAGGGCAGCCCACUCCAGUGUUCUUGCCUGGAGACUCCUAUGGAUGGAGGAGCCUGGCGGGCUGCGGCUCAAAGCAUCGCCAAGAGUCAGACACGACAGGAGCGACCUAGCCUGCUCGCAGGGGGAAGUGAGCGAGGCCCUGAGAGACAUCUGGACCUCAGAACGCACGGUCUGGAAGGUGAGGACAGCAAGGAUCAGAUGGCCCCUCUCUCUACUUGCUCCUGGUGUGGGGCGGUCAUCCCUGCUUCUCUCCAGGGCUCCCCGCCAGCCAGCUCUCUCUCCUCCCUCAUAGGUCCGGCGCCUUUCUCUCUCCGGUUUCUUUGGGGACCGAAGUCUUCGCACCUUCAUCCCAGCUGUGACUCUAGAGAUGUAGGCUUAUGGCCUCAGCUCCCGCUGCCACCAAGACAUGCCUGAAUCCCAGUUCCCAGGAGGAUGCUGCUUGGCCCAUCUUCUUGACCACGGCCACCCAGGCCACAUGCCCUUGGCAUCUGAGCAGCCAGCUGCACUUUGUCCAGCGUCCACCCUGUUACAGAUAGCCUGGGUGGGGCACGGGGGCAGGGACUACGGUGGCUGCACAGAGGGAUGGCUCUUUGCUCAGAGGAGCUGUGGGCAGGAAGGCGCUAUCAACACAGAGGACACCAAGGAGAAGGCAGGGAGCUUUCAUUUUGGUUUUUAUUAAUUCUCACAACUCCCCACGCAGACAGUGGGAGGAACCGGGUCUGCAGGGUCAGCAGAUCCUCCGAUGAACAGAAUGUGCAACUCUUUCCAGCGUGAUUAGUUUUGCUUUUUUUUUUUUUUAAUCUNNNNNNNNNNNNNNNNNNNNNNNNNNNNNNNNNNNNNNNNNNNNNNNNNNNNNNNNNNNNNNNNNNNNNNNNNNNNNNNNNNNNNNNNNNNNNNNNNNNUGCAACUCUUUCCAGCGUGAUUAGUUUUGCUUUUUUUUUUUUUUAAUCUGUGAAUUGUUGGGUCAAUUCCCAACAUCAUGAAGAGCCAGGUUUUGUUCAUCUUGGCGUCCAAAUGAUGUUUUUGAAAUCGGAACUAAAAUAAAGCAGUAACAAGACGAAAGAAGCAACAUCCUGUUUUAUGGAGGGUCUGAUUGAAAAAAAAAAUACGUGAGAAAAAACACUCUGUGUGCAGAGUAAAUAUUUACCCAUCCCUACCCCCCCCCCCCCCCCCCCCCCCCCCCCCCCCUCNNNNNNNNNNNNGCCCAGGACAUGAGAAGACGAGUCUCAGGAUGGACACAUCACCCCCUCCCCCUCCCCGAGGCCUUAGUAUGACUCACUGGUCACGUUGCCUGGUACCAUGCAGUCCCCGCCCUCCUGAGGGCUGCGGCAGACGGAAUGUCACCACAGACGGAGAAGAGCUCAGUGAGGCACAGGUUGUGGGGACCUUGACCCCGAGAGGCUGUGCAUUUUCAGCAGGUCAGCUGCGGGUGAGAGUCGUCCGCCUUCCCAUUCGCAGACCUGGGUUCAUGACCUGGUCCUGAGAUCAGGGUGCUGGAGGCCCUCCUGGAGGUUCUUCCAGUCCCUGGGUGUUGAGAAGGUGGGUGUCGAUACAGCCCCCCACAGUCUGCAGCGAGAGAACGUGUCUGGGCUGCCCUUCCCAGGAGACGGGCCCCAUGCUGUUACAUUUAUGUCCCCAGGAGCUCUGCGGAUCGCAGCCGGUCUCCAGGACCCCUACCUCACAGACGGGAAACGGGGAAAACAGGCUAUUUGUUGUCGUCGUUUUUUUGUGUUGUGUUUCAUCAAAUCAGAGACGGGUCUCCUGGUUCUUUCUGCUUCUAUGCUCGCAGGGCCCCUCCGGGCCUGGGCAGGCGUGAGGGCGCCCCUUGCACUCCCCUGGAUCCCCACCCGUCACCCUGGCUGUGGCACUCUCUCCUGGGGGUCAUCGUGAAGGUCACUAUUUGGUGGUGGGUUAUGAUGAGGCCAGUAUGUCCAAAAGGCUUUUUUUUCACCUAGUAAAAUUCUGAAACCGUGACAAUUGUUGGCAAACGAUGGCUUCACUUCCAUUUUGGCGGAGUUUUGAGCACGCUGUUAGGGCUGCUUGCGUUGUAAGGGGAUAGGGAGCUCCGCUCAGAAGGGGGAGGCUGCGCAGACCGUGCCCUGGUCUCACUCUGGGGGGGAAGGACGGGGUUUGGGGUGAGGCUGGGUCAGCGUUCAGGCACGCUGCUCCCCUGUCAUAGCUGCUGGGUCUUCGGGUCCCCUCUCUGCACCCUGCACUCUGCCCUGAAGGGCGACUGUCCCCAGCAGGAGCCCCGGGCUUCAUUGAGCCUCCUUCCUGUCCCUUCUGGGACUCACAGGUGUUUUCCUGAAGCAUCCAGGUUCCCAGGUGAUGGGGCCCCGCAGGGACCAUGCACCGGGGGGCACUCGUCUGGAGGGGCCGUUUGCUGAAGGGCUCCCCUUAGAAGCCCAAGGAUUGGAACCCCAUGGGGUAAGGUGGCUCAGAGGAGGCCCACCCUGCCAGCACCUUCUCUGGGAGCUACCACGAGCACCUGCUCCAAUCCCCGGCCGCUCAGAGCCAGGGGAGACGGGAGGCCACGUGGCUACCUCCCCUGUGUCCGUUCCUGGGCCCUGAGGCCAGGCACCGUCCCGGCCGCCCUGAGGACCUGGCCCUCCCGGGCACAGCGCUGCUCCUGGAGCCAUUCUCCUGCGGUUUCUUUGACUUUCUUGAGCUUAGCCGGGGCUCCUCCAGGAAAGCACCCCUCCUCCAAAGCGCCUUCCCCCAAGGCUCUUAUUCUGAGCUCCUUCAGAUGUCUGACUAAGCCAAGGGUCUCUCGGCCUCUGCCUCCCCCCAGCACCCACGAGUCACUCUGCAUGACCUCCUGGGGCGGCCAGGCGGGUGGAGGAGGGGCUGUCUCCCCCGCCCGUCCCCUCACCGGCUGAAACUUCACUCUCCGCUGGUUUGAGAACCGGGGACCCAGCCCACAGGCUCAGCUGAGCUUCCGCUGACCACGCACUCAGUGUUUUGAAACAGAUACUGAAGACCCGUGGGGAGCCGGGGUCGUGCAGAGAAAACCUUCUCCCCGACUUUCUCCGCGGAGGGGGUGGGAAUAGGCACGUGUGAGGAGACCCAGCCUCCCUCCCGCUUGGUCCCCGCCCCAAAGCCCAUCACCUGGUUAAAAGACAAACCAGAGAGACACACAGAAACGCCGUGGGGUCAGCAGAGCGUGGUGGUGCCCCGGG